rnacentral:rRNA from 1 species
UAACGCGAAGACCUUACCUACUCUUGACAUCCAGAGAACUUUCCAGAGAUGGAUUGGUGCCUUCGGGAACUCUGAGACAGGUGCUGCAUGGCUGUCGUCAGCUCGUGUUGUGAAAUGUUGGGUUAAGUCCCGCAACGAGCGCAACCCUUAUCCUUUGUUGCCAGCGGUCCGGCCGGGAACUCAAAGGAGACUGCCAGUGAUAAACUGGAGGAAGGUGGGGAUGACGUCAAGUCAUCAUGGCCCUUACGAGUAGGGCUACACACGUGCUACAAUGGCGCAUACAAAGAGAAGCGACCUCGCGAGAGCAAGCGGACCUCAUAAAGUGCGUCGUAGUCCGGAUUGGAGUCUGCAACUCGACUCCAUGAAGUCGGAAUCGCUAGUAAUCGUAGAUCAGAAUGCUACGGUGAAUACGUUCCCGGGUCUUGUACACACCGA